AUUCCACAGGUUCUAUGCCACAGGACUCAACAACUACCACAAUUUUUAAUACCGCAUCCACAUGCCCAAACAGAAUGGGUGGGGAUGGACAAAGGAUAUGCACAUAUUGAAAGGUGCUGGUCUUGGAUAAGGCAUAUGCUUCAUGCAACUGUAUCCACCAUGCUAGCAGCUUCCCUCACGCAAUUUCCUUAUCCACAGUCCUAACUCCAAUUACUUCCUGAUAGCUCCAUCCUACUGGGAUUUCUUCUCGUCCCUCGUUCUUAUCUGUCCAGCCGCCACUGCACAGUCCCCGAUUUGUAUCUGAAGAUUGUCACAAUGUGACAAUAAGAAAAUGGUUUAAGAUGAAAAGUACAAUAUUUUGAACUUUCCUCAUAUAAAUUGGAAAGUGUAAUUCACAGAACAGAACCACUAAAACUGAUUUCAGGCUCCCAGCACUUCAAUUCGAAGGUCUGCAUUCCGAGCCACAUUUAGAUGCCAAUCAUUCUUCGAAGACAAAAACUUCAGAAUCAUAGCAAUCGGACGCCAAAAACUCAGGAGGUAGUUGGCCUAAUGGUUUAG
rnacentral:lncRNA from 1 species